AUUGAACGCUGGCGGCAUGCUUUACACAUGCAAGUCGAACGGUAGGGUAGCAAUACCUGAGAGUGGCGAACGGGUGAGUAAUGCAUCGGAACAUGCCUAUUAGUGGGGGAUAGCCCGGCGAAAGCCGGAUUAAUACCGCAUACGAUCUAUGGAUGAAAGCUGGGGACCGCAAGGCCUGGCGCUAAUAGAGUGGCCGAUGUCAGAUUAGUUAGUUGGUGGGGUAAAGGCUCACCAAGGCGACGAUCUGUAGCUGGUUUGAGAGAACGACCAGCCACACUGGGACUGAGACACGGCCCAGACUCCUACGGGAGGCAGCAGUGGGGAAUUUUGGACAAUGGGCGAAAGCCUGAUCCAGCAAUGCCGCGUGCAGGAUGAAGGCCUUCGGGUUGUAAACUGCUUUUGUACGGAGCGAAAAGGCUUCCAUUAAUACUGGGGGCUCAUGACGGUACCGUAAGAAUAAGCACCGGCUAACUACGUGCCAGCCGCCGCAGUAA
rnacentral:rRNA from 1 species